AGUCACGCUGUAAACGAUGUCGAUUUGGAGGUUGUUCCCUUGAGGAGUGGCUUCCGGAGCUAACGCGUUAAAUCGACCGCUGGGGAGUACGGCCGCAAGGUUAAAACUCAAAUGAAUUGACGGGGGCCCGCACAGCGGUGGAGCAUGUGGUUUAAUUCGAUGCAACGCGAAGAACCUUACCUACUCUUGACAUCCAGAGAAUUUAGCAGAGAUGCUUUAGUGCCUUCGGGAACUCUGAGACAGGUGCUGCAUGGCUGUCGUCAGCUCGUGUUGUGAAAUGUUGGGUUAAGUCCCGCAACGAGCGCAACCCUUAUCCUUUGUUGCCAGCACGUUAUGGUGGGAACUCAAAGGAGACUGCCGGUGAUAAACCGGAGGAAGGUGGGGAUGACGUCAAGUCAUCAUGGCCCUUACGAGUAGGGCUACACACGUGCUACAAUGGCGUAUACAAAGAGAAGCGACCUCGCGAGAGCAAGCGGAACUCAUAAAGUACGUCGUAGUCCGGAUUGGAGUCUGCAACUCGACUCCAUGAAGUCGGAAUCGCUAGUAAUCGUAGAUCAGAAUGCUACGGUGAAUACGUUCCCGGGCCUUGUACACACCGCCCGUCACACCAUGGGAGUGGGUUGCAAAAGAAGUAGGUAGCUUAACCUUCGGGAGGGCGCUUACCACUUUGUGAUUCAUGACUGGGGUGAAGUCGUAACAAGGUAACCA
rnacentral:rRNA from 1 species